CGGCAUGCUUUACACAUGCAAGUCGAACGGCAGCACGGGGUGCUUGCACCUGGUGGCGAGUGGCGGACGGGUGAGUAAUGCAUCGGAACGUGUCCUAAAGUGGGGGAUAACGCAUCGAAAGAUGUGCUAAUACCGCAUAUUCUCUGAGGAGGAAAGUAGGGGAUCGAAAGACCUUAUGCUUUUGGAGCGGCCGAUGUCUGAUUAGCUAGUUGGUAGGGUAAUGGCUUACCAAGGCGACGAUCAGUAGUUGGUCUGAGAGGACGACCAGCCACACUGGGACUGAGACACGGCCCAGACUCCUACGGGAGGCAGCAGUGGGGAAUUUUGGACAAUGGGCGCAAGCCUGAUCCAGCAAUGCCGCGUGAGUGAAGAAGGCCUUCGGGUUGUAAAGCUCUUUCAGUUGAAAAGAAAAAGCCGUGACUAAUAAUCAUGGUUCAUGACGGUAUCAACAGAAGAAGCACCGGCUA
rnacentral:rRNA from 1 species